AAAUUGAAGAGUUUGAUCAUGGCUCAGAUUGAACGCUGGCGGCAGGCCUAACACAUGCAAGUCGAACGGUAACAGGAAGCGCUUGCUGCUUCGCUGACGAGUGGCGGACGGGUGAGUAAUGUCUGGGAAACUGCCUGAUGGAGGGGGAUAACUACUGGAAACGGUAGCUAAUACCGCAUAACGUCGCAAGACCAAAGAGGGGGACCUUCGGGCCUCUUGCCAUCGGAUGUGCCCAGAUGGGAUUAGCUUGUUGGUGGGGUAACGGCU
rnacentral:rRNA from 2 species